CCAUACAACUCUGUUUUUUAUAUAAGACAACAGACAUUUACGGAACUGACGAUGAUGAAGAAGGCAUAUACUACAUACAAAGCCGACAUAGAAUAUAUAUUUCACAUAAUUUAUAUAAAGUACUCUUUAAAGUACAAGGGAAACAUACAUUCAGAAGAAACAAGGCUUCAAGUCACUACUAUUAUUAUAUUACAGACUGGAGUGUAAUUGACGAAGAGAAAAAGAAGGCCAAGAAAGCCUAUUAAGCUCUGCGAAUUGGUUUUCUGAUACUGUAAUCCACAAUUCCCUUGCCACCAUAAAUUAGAGCGGCUUGGUUGCUAUCGAUGACUGGCUCCCUGAUAUUGACGACUUGGGGGCCACGGUAUUGAUUGUAGUAGUCAUACUGACGAUACUGACGAUGGAGUUGAUAUUGAUGAUCAUAUCCUUGAUGAGCAGUAGGAAGCCUUGCUCCAGACUUCUUGGGCCGCUCGUAGAAUUCGUCUAAGAGAGCAAAGCCCUCCAAGCCAACAUCAAUCAGCUUGUCUUUCUGAUGUUUUUGAGGUGCCAUUACCAGUAAGAGCACAAGAAACUUACUUUAAUUUGAAACUAAGCAAGAGAAGCUUUUGUUUCUUGUUUGUCUUGCAAGUAAAAUUUGAGACUUAGCUCCUCCUUAUAUAGGAAAUUGACCGUAGAGCCUUCUAUGUAUAGCUUCACUUUAUGACAAUAAAAAUAGAAAAAGGGAUAGAGGCAACUAGCCUCUCUCCAAAACUUAAC
rnacentral:lncRNA from 1 species